UACGUAGGAGGCGAGCGUUGUCCGGAAUUACUGGGUGUAAAGAGCGUGUAGGCGGCACGUUAAGUUCAGGGUGAAAGCGCCCGGCUCAACCGGGCAGAGUCCCGUGGAAACUGGCGGGCUGGAGGUCGGUAGAGGCGCGUGGAAUUCCCGGUGUAGUGGUGAAAUGCGUAGAGAUCGGGAGGAACACCAGUGGCGAAGGCGGCGCGCUGGGCCGGACCUGACGCUGAGACGGCGAAGGCGUGGGGAGCGAACGGG
rnacentral:rRNA from 1 species